rnacentral:tRNA from 1 species
GUUGGUAGAUUGGUAAAGCGCUCCACCUGUAAUGGAGAGGUCCCGGGUUCGAUACCCGGAC